AGCUUCCUGAUGCAGAACUUGCAUCGUGACCUGAAGAUAGUCCACCCGUUUGUGGAAGUGUGAACAGGAAAUGGACUGGGAUAUGGAUACCUCAGAUAAGCCUUGGAUUUCAGAGGAGGAUAAAUUCUAAGUGAUGAAAAGGCCCAGGAUAUGCCCUUGGAAAUUAAUGGCUAGAGUGGAGAUGAAGGUUACUGGAGUAUAAGAGAUCAAGAAAUGGAUUGAGAGAGACAGAGCAUGAACGGGGGAGGGGCAGAGAGAGAGGG